rnacentral:rRNA from 1 species
CAGCCGCCGCGGUAAUACGUAGGGUGCGAGCGUUAAUCGGAUUUACUGGGCGUAAAGCGUGCGCAGGCGGCCCGUUAAGACAGGUGUGAAAUCCCUGGGCUCAACCUAGGAAUUGCGCUUGUGACUGGCGGGCUCGAGUACGGUAGAGGGGGGUGGAAUUCCUGGUGUAGCAGUGAAAUGCGUAGAGAUCCGGAGGAACACCGAUGGCGAAGGCAGCCCCCUGGGCCUGUACUGACGCUCAUGCACGAAAGCGUGGGGAGCAAACAGGAUUAGAUACCCGGGUAGUCCACGCCCUAAACGAUGGGUACUAGCCGUUUGGUGCGCGAUAGCGCUGAGUGGCGAAGCUAACGCGUGAAGUACCCCGCCUGGGGAGUACGGCCGCAAGGUUGAAACUUAAAGGAAUUGGCGGG